CUUACAUGCACCAGGAUUGUUCACCACCCAUUGUUCAUCGAGACAUAAGUAGCAGUAAUGUUUUGCUUGAUUCUGAGUAUGAAGCUCGUGUUGCAGACUUUGGACUAGCGAAGAUUCUCAAUCCAGACUCAUCCAAUUGCACUACACUUGCAGGCACAUAUGGCUAUGUCGCACCUGAGCUUGCAUAUACUAUGAAGGUUACGCAAAUGUGUGAUGUGUAUAGCUAUGGAGUAUUAUCAUUGGAGAUAGUCAAAGGAAAGCAUCCUGGGGAAUACAUUUCUGUGCUAGCAAAUUCAUCGACUAUAGAUCCUGAGCAGCUUAGCGAUUUGCUGGAUGAACGCCUUCCAUAUCCUGAAGAUAGAGUAAAAGAUGUUUUGAUUUUUAUCGUCAAUCUAGCAUGCUCUUGUUUGCUUAAAACUCCAAAAUCAAGGCCAACAAUGCACUUCAUCUCUCAGAAGUUAUCAUCAAUGGAUGCACGUCCACCUAUUCAUCAGAGAAACCCCCGUGUAAUGCGAGCAAUAUAUAAUCCUUGAUAUGUAUGGAAAUGUCGUUAAGUGUGAAGUAAGUAUUUCAAUUGCUGGGACUAGUAUUUUUACGGUUCUCAUUUUGUUUACUGUAUUUAAGACCUCAUAUUACAGUCGCACAUAGUUCGUCUUGGAAGUUUUUUUUCGAUUUCAAAGAUUUUACCUGUAUGUAUAGAAGCUAGAAAAUGACCCUUUCUGCUCAAGCUUUUGUCCCAACUGAAUAAAUGGAGUUGUUCUUCAUUGUAAUGACUAAUGAGAUUACAUUUUG